UCAUUUGGUUUAUUUGAUGGUGGCUGAGUAUUGUUCUUUCUUUGCAACACAAAAGCUUCAAUUUUUUUUGCGUCUUCUGUCUUUGUUUUGUGUUAUAAUGACUUUUCGCCGGACAAAAGGUUAAAUUUUUUGGUGUUCUUGAGCCUUCUCUGACAUAAAGUUGUCACCGAGAGCAAAUAGUGUUCGGCAUUUGAAGGACAGGUUUGUGAUGUAUUUCAUUUCUCCUUUUGAUUUAUGGGUUCUUUCAGUAUAAAAGAUUGAAUUUUUUUUUGUGUUCCUCAGUCUUAUUGAGUCUUAUUUGACCAUGGUUAACCCACUCUUCUUCCUUUGCAAGACAAAAGCCAUAGAUCAUAGUAUGUUGGAUAGAUUACAGGGGAAAGCUUCAUUUUUUUCUUUACUCAGAUGAACAUAGUUCGAUUGCCGAUGUUCUGCCUUAAUAGCACAAUAUUGAAAAAUAUGGAUCUUUGUGUUGCA